UCCCUGGUGGCCAAGUGGGUUAAGGAUCCAGCGUUGUCACUGCUGUGGCAGAGGUUUGAUCCCUGUCCUGGGAG
rfam:Sus scrofa chromosome 10.